rnacentral:rRNA from 1 species
AUUAAACUCUGUCUGCAGUCCUAACACAUGCAAGUCCAGCGACCUGCGGACGGGUUAUUAAUGUCUUGUAAACUGCCUGAUGGAGGGGGAUAACUACUGGAAACGGUAGCUCAUACCGCAUACCAUCAGAUGUGCCCAGAUGGGCUUAGCUAGUAGGUGGGGUAACGGCGCACAAAGGCGACGAUCCCUAGCUGGUCUGUGAGGAUGACCAGCCAAACUUGAACUGAGACACGGUCCAGACACCUAAGGGAGGCAGCAGUGGGGAGUAUUGCAAGAUGGGCGCAAGCCUGAUGCAGCCAUGCCGCGUGUGUGAAGAAGGCCUUCGGGUUGUAAAGCACUUUCAGCGGGGGGGCGUUACCCGCAGAAGAAGCACCGGCUAACUCCGUGCCAGCCGCCGCGGUAAUAC